GCGGGAGUAGCUCAGUGGUAGAGCACUAGCUUCCCAAGCUGGGUGUCGCGGGUUCGAUACCCGUUUCCCGCU
rnacentral:tRNA from 1 species